UUGAGUAAUCAAGGAAAGGUGGCCUCUGUAAAUGCUACCGAUUAUGGAUGGGCCCGCGUCUGAUUAGCUAGUUGGUAAGGUAAUGGCUCACCAAAGCGACGAUGGGUAGCCGGCCUGAGAGGGUGACCGGCCACACUGGAACUGAGACACGGCCCAGACUCCUACGGGAGGCAGCAGUGGGGAAUCUUGCGCAAUGGGCGAAAGCCUGACGGAGCAACGCCGCGUGAGCGAAGAAGGUUUUCGGAUUGUAAAGCUCUGUGAUAUUGGACGAACGAUUUCCCGUAAAUAAUGGGAAAGAAUGACGGUACAAUAAGAGGAAGCCACGGCUAACUACGUGCCAGCAGCCGCGGUAAUACGUAGGUGGCAAGCGUUGUUCGGAAUUACUGGGCGUAAAGGGCGAGUAGGUGGCUUACUCAGUCAGAAGUGAAAGCCCUCGGCUUAACCGGGGACGUGCAUUUGAAACUGGCAGACUUGAGUACUGGAGAGGAUAGUGGAAUUCCCGGUGUAGAGGUGAAAUUCGUAGAUAUCGGGAGGAAUACCAGUGGCGAAGGCGACUAUCUGGCCUGUAACUGACACUGAGGCGCGAAAGCGUGGGGAUCAAACAGGAUUAGAUACCCUGGUAGUCCACGCCGUAAACGAUGUCUGCUAGGUGUCGGGAUGGUUAAUCGUCUCAUUGCCGCAGCUAACGCAUUAAGUUGACCGCCUGGGGAGUACGGUCGCAAGGUUGAAACUCAAAGGAAUUGACGGGGGCCCGCACAAGCGGAGGAAUAUGUGGUUUAAUUCGAAGCAACGCGCAGAACCUUACCACCUCUUGACAUCCCGGAAUCUUGAGGAAACUUGAGAGUGCCUCGCAAGAGGAGCUCGGAGACAGGUGCUGCAUGGUUGUCGUCAGCUCGUGCCGUGAGGUGUCGGGUUAAGUCCCAUAACGAGCGCAACCCCUAUCGUUAGUUGCCAGCGGGUCAAGCCGGGAACUCUAGGAGACUGCCGGUGAUAAACCGGAGGAAGGUGGGGAUGACGUCAAAUCAUCAUGCCCCUUAUGUCCUGGGCUACACAUGUGCUACAAUGGCCGGUACAGGCGGAGGCGAAGCCGCGAGGUGAAGCAAACCUGAGAAAGCUGGUCUCAGUUCGGAUUGCAGGCUGCAACUCGCCUGCAUGAAGUCGGAAUCGCUAGUAAUCGCAGGUCAGCAUACUGUGGUGAAUACGUUCCCGGGCCCUGUACACACCGCCCGUCACACCAUGGGAGCUGGG
rnacentral:rRNA from 1 species